GACGAACGCUGGCGGCGUGCUUAACACAUGCAAGUCGAACGGAAAGGCCCUUCGGGGUUCUCGAGUGGCGAACGGGUGAGUAACACGUGGGUGAUCUGCCCUGCACUUUGGGAUAAGCCUGGGAAACUGGGUCUAAUACCGAAUAGGACCGCGCGCUUCAUGGUGUGUGGUGGAAAGCUUUUGCGGUGUGGGAUGGGCCCGCGGCCUAUCAGCUUGUUGGUGGGGUAAUGGCCUACCAAGGCGACGACGGGUAGCCGGCCUGAGAGGGUGACCGGCCACACUGGGACUGAGAUACGGCCCAGACUCCUACGGGAGGCAGCAGUGGGGAAUAUUGCACAAUGGGCGCAAGCCUGAUGCAGCGACGCCGCGUGAGGGAUGACGGCCUUCGGGUUGUAAACCUCUUUCACCAGGGACGAAGCGCAAGUGACGGUACCUGGAGAAGAAGCACCGGCCAACUACGUG
rnacentral:rRNA from 1 species